GACGAACGCUGGCGGCGUGCCUAACACAUGCAAGUCGAGCGGGGUUGAAGCGAGGGGUAACUCGAGUUUCUAUCUAGCGGCGGACGGGUGAGUAACGCGUGGGCAACCUGCCUCAAGGACUGGGAUAACAGCUCGAAAGGGCUGCUAAUACCGGAUAUGCCUGUGGCCUCGCAUGGGGCUAUGAGCAAAGGGGAAACCCGCCUUGAGAUGGGCCCGCGUCCCAUCAGCUAGUUGGUGAGGUGAAGGCUCACCAAGGCGACGACGGGUAGCCGGCCUGAGAGGGUGACCGGCCACACUGGGACUGAGACACGGCCCAGACUCCUACGGGGGGCAGCAGUGGGGAAUCUUGCACAAUGGGCGAAAGCCUGAUGCAGCGACGCCGCGUGAGCGAAGAAGGCCUUCGGGUUGUAAAGCUCUGUCUGGAGGGACGAAGGAAGUGACGGUACCUCCGGAGGAAGCCACGGCUAACUACGUGCCAGCAGCCGCGGUAAAACGUAGCGU
rnacentral:rRNA from 1 species